CGAUAUGCUUUGGGGAGCUGUAAGUAAGCUUUGAUCCAGAGAUUUCCGAAUGGGGAAACCCAGCAUGAGUUAUGUCAUGUUAUCGAUAUGUGAAUACAUAGCAUAUCAGAAGGCACACCCGGAGAACUGAAACAUCUUAGUACCCGGAGGAAGAGAAAGAAAAUUCGAUUCCCUUAGUAGCGGCGAGCGAAACGGGAAGAGCCCAAACCAACAAGCUUGCUUGUUGGGGUUGUAGGACACUCUAUACGGAGUUACAAAGGACGACAUUAGACGAAUCAUCUGGAAAGAUGAAUCAAAGAAGGUAAUAAUCCUGUAGUCGAAAAUGUUGUCUCUCUUGAGUGGAUCCUGAGUACGACGGAGCACGUGAAAUUCCGUCGGAAUCUGGGAGGACCAUCUCCUAAGGCUAAAUACUCUCUAGUGACCGAUAGUGAACCAGUACCGUGAGGGAAAGGUGAAAAGCACCCCGGAAGGGGAGUGAAAUAGAACCUGAAACCGUGUGCUUACAAGUAGUCAGAGCCCGUUAAUGGGUGAUGGCGUGCCUUUUGUAGAAUGAACCGGCGAGUUACGAUUUGAUGCAAGGUUAAGCAGUAAAUGUGGAGCCGUAGCGAAAGCGAGUCUGAAUAGGGCGUUUAGUAUUUGGUCGUAGACCCGAAACCAGGUGAUCUACCCUUGGUCAGGUUGAAGUUCAGGUAACACUGAAUGGAGGACCGAACCGACUUACGUUGAAAAGUGAGCGGAUGAACUGAGGGUAGCGGAGAAAUUCCAAUCGAACCUGGAGAUAGCUGGUUCUCUCCGAAAUAGCUUUAGGGCUAGCCUCAAGUGAUGAUUAUUGGAGGUAGAGCACUGUUUGGACGAGGGGCCCCUCUCGGGUUACCGAAUUCAGACAAACUCCGAAUGCCAAUUAAUUUAACUUGGGAGUCAGAACAUGGGUGAUAAGGUCCGUGUUCGAAAGGGAAACAGCCCAGACCACCAGCUAAGGUCCCAAAAUAUAUGUUAAGUGGAAAAGGAUGUGGCGUUGCCCAGACAACUAGGAUGUUGGCUUAGAAGCAGCCAUCAUUUAAAGAGUGCGUAAUAGCUCACUAGUCGAGUGACACUGCGCCGAAAAUGUACCGGGGCUAAACAUAUUACCGAAGCUGUGGAUUGUCCUUUGGACAAUGGUAGGAGAGCGUUCUAAGGGCGUUGAAGCAUGAUCGUAAGGACAUGUGGAGCGCUUAGAAGUGAGAAUGCCGGUGUGAGUAGCGAAAGACGGGUGAGAAUCCCGUCCACCGAUUGACUAAGGUUUCCAGAGGAAGGCUCGUCCGCUCUGGGUUAGUCGGGUCCUAAGCUGAGGCCGACAGGCGUAGGCGAUGGAUAACAGGUUGAUAUUCCUGUACCACCUAUAAUCGUUUUAAUCGAUGGGGGGACGCAGUAGGAUAGGCGAAGCGUGCGAUUGGAUUGCACGUCUAAGCAGUAAGGCUGAGUAUUAGGCAAAUCCGGUACUCGUUAAGGCUGAGCUGUGAUGGGGAGAAGACAUUGUGUCUUCGAGUCGUUGAUUUCACACUGCCGAGAAAAGCCUCUAGAUAGAAAAUAGGUGCCCGUACCGCAAACCGACACAGGUAGUCAAGAUGAGAAUUCUAAGGUGAGCGAGCGAACUCUCGUUAAGGAACUCGGCAAAAUGACCCCGUAACUUCGGGAGAAGGGGUGCUCUUUAGGGUUAACGCCCAGAAGAGCCGCAGUGAAUAGGCCCAAGCGACUGUUUAUCAAAAACACAGGUCUCUGCUAAACCGUAAGGUGAUGUAUAGGGGCUGACGCCUGCCCGGUGCUGGAAGGUUAAGAGGAGUGGUUAGCUUCUGCGAAGCUACGAAUCGAAGCCCCAGUAAACGGCGGCCGUAACUAUAACGGUCCUAAGGUAGCGAAAUUCCUUGUCGGGUAAGUUCCGACCCGCACGAAAGGCGUAACGAUUUGGGCACUGUCUCAACGAGAGACUCGGUGAAAUCAUAGUACCUGUGAAGAUGCAGGUUACCCGCGACAGGACGGGAAGACCCCGUGGAGCUUUACUGUAGCCUGAUAUUGAAAUUCGGCACAGCUUGUACAGGAUAGGUAGGAGCCUUUGAAACGUGAGCGCUAGCUUACGUGGAGGCGCUGGUGGGAUACUACCCUAGCUGUGUUGGCUUUCUAACCCGCACCACUUAUCGUGGUGGGAGACAGUGUCAGGCGGGCAGUUUGACUGGGGCGGUCGCCUCCUAAAAGGUAACGGAGGCGCUCAAAGGUUCCCUCAGAAUGGUUGGAAAUCAUUCAUAGAGUGUAAAGGCAUAAGGGAGCUUGACUGCGAGACCUACAAGUCGAGCAGGGUCGAAAGACGGACUUAGUGAUCCGGUGGUUCCGCAUGGAAGGGCCAUCGCUCAACGGAUAAAAGCUACCCCGGGGAUAACAGGCUUAUCUCCCCCAAGAGUUCACAUCGACGGGGAGGUUUGGCACCUCGAUGUCGGCUCAUCGCAUCCUGGGGCUGUAGUCGGUCCCAAGGGUUGGGCUGUUCGCCCAUUAAAGCGGUACGCGAGCUGGGUUCAGAACGUCGUGAGACAGUUCGGUCCCUAUCCGUCGUGGGCGUAGGAAAUUUGAGAGGAGCUGUCCUUAGUACGAGAGGACCGGGAUGGACAUACCUCUGGUGUACCAGUUGUCGUGCCAACGGCAUAGCUGGGUAGCUAUGUGUGGACGGGAUAAGUGCUGAAAGCAUCUAAGCAUGAAGCCCCCCUCAAGAUGAGAUUUCCCAACUUCGGUUAUAAGAUCCCUCAAAGAUGAUGAGGUUAAUAGGUUCGAGGUGGAAGCAUGGUGACAUGUGGAGCUGACGAAUACUAAUCGAUCGAAGACUUAAUC
rnacentral:rRNA from 1 species